rnacentral:rRNA from 1 species
AUUGAACGCUGGCGGCAGGCUUAACACAUGCAAGUCGAACGAUGAAGAUAUAGCUUGCUAUAUCGGAUUAGUGGCGGACGGGUGAGUAACACUUAGGAAUCUACCUUUUAGCGGGGGAUAGCUCGGGGAAACUCGAAUUAAUACCGCAUAAUUUCUACGGAAUAAAGAGGGCCUUUAGCUCUCACUAGAAGAUGAGCCUAAGUAAGAUUAGCUAGUUGGUGGGGUAAAAGCCUACCAAGGCGACGAUCUUUAGCUGGUCUGAGAGGAUGAUCAGCCACACUGGGACUGAGACACGGCCCAGACUCCUACGGGAGGCAGCAGUGGGGAAUAUUGGACAAUGGGGGCAACCCUGAUCCAGCCAUGCCGCGUGUGUGAAGAAGGCCUUUUGGUUGUAAAGCACUUUAAGCAGUGAAGAAGACCUAUUGGUUAAUACCCAAUAGCAAUGACAUUAACUGCAGAAUAAGCACCGGCUAACUCUGUGCCAGCAGCCGCGGUAAUACAGAGGGUGCAAGCGUUAAUCGGAAUUACUGGGCGUAAAGCGAGCGUAGGUGGUUAAAUAAGUCAGAUGUGAAAGCCCUGGGCUCAACCUAGGAACGGCAUCUGAAACUAUUUAACUAGAGUAGGUGAGAGGGAAGUAGAAUUUCAGGUGUAGCGGUGAAAUGCGUAGAGAUCUGAAGGAAUACCGAUGGCGAAGGCAGCUUCCUGGCAUCAUACUGACACUGAGGCUCGAAAGCGUGGGUAGCAAACAGG